AACACAUGCAAGUCGAGGGGCAGCAUUUUAUUUUGCUUGCAAACUGAAGAUGGCGACCGGCGCACGGGUGAGUAACACGUAUCCAACCUGCCGAUAACUCCGGGAUAGCCUUUCGAAAGAAAGAUUAAUACCGGAUAGUAUACGAAUAUCGCAUGAUAUUUUUAUUAAAGAAUUUCGGUUAUCGAUGGGGAUGCGUUCCAUUAGUUUGUUGGCGGGGUAACGGCCCACCAAGACUACGAUGGAUAGGGGUUCUGAGAGGAAGGUCCCCCACAUUGGAACUGAGACACGGUCCAAACUCCUACGGGAGGCAGCAGUGAGGAAUAUUGGUCAAUGGGCGCGAGCCUGAACCAGCCAAGUAGCGUGAAGGAUGAAGGCUCUAUGGGUCGUAAACUUCUUUUAUAUGGGAAUAAAGUUUUCCACGUGUGGAAUUUUGUAUGUACCAUAUGAAUAAGGAUCGGCUAACUCCGUGCCAGCAGCCGCGGUAAUACGGAGGAUCCGAGCGUUAUCCGGAUUUAUUGGGUUUAAAGGGAGCGUAGGUGGAUUGUUAAGUCAGUUGUGAAAGUUUGCGGCUCAACCGUAAAAUUGUAGUUGAAACUGGCAGUCUUGAGUACAGUAGAGGUGGGCGGAAUUCGUGGUGUAGCGGUGAAAUGCUUAGAUAUCACGAAGAACUCCGAUUGCGAAGGCAGCUCACUAGACUGUCACUGACACUGAUGCUCGAAAGUGUGGGUAUCAAACAGGAUUAGAUACCCUGGUAGUCCACACAGUAAACGAUGAAUACUCGCUGUUUGCGAUAUACAGUAAGCGGCCAAGCGAAAGCAUUAAGUAUUCCACCUGGGGAGUACGCCGGCAACGGUGAAACUCAAAGGAAUUGACGGGGGCCCGCACAAGCGGAGGAACAUGUGGUUUAAUUCGAUGAUACGCGAGGAACCUUACCCGGGCUUAAAUUGCAACAGAAUAUAUUGGAAACAGUAUAGCCGUAAGGCUGUUGUGAAGGUGCUGCAUGGUUGUCGUCAGCUCGUGCCGUGAGGUGUCGGCUUAAGUGCCAUAACGAGCGCAACCCUUAUCUUUAGUUACUAACAGGUUAUGCUGAGGACUCUAGAGAGACUGCCGUCGUAAGAUGUGAGGAAGGUGGGGAUGACGUCAAAUCAGCACGGCCCUUACGUCCGGGGCUACACACGUGUUACAAUGGGGGGUACAGAAGGCGGCUACCUGGUGACAGGAUGCUAAUCCCAAAAACCUCUCUCAGUUCGGAUCGAAGUCUGCAACCCGACUUCGUGAAGCUGGAUUCGCUAGUAAUCGCGCAUCAGCCAUGGCGCGGUGAAUACGUUCCCGGGCCUUGUACACACCGCCCGUCAAGCCAUGAAAGCCGGGGGUACCUGAAGUACGUAAAAAGAAGGAGCGUCCUAGGGUAAANC
rnacentral:rRNA from 1 species